rnacentral:misc_RNA from 1 species
GGAUGUCUGAAAAGUAGCCUGUAGAGUUUGUUUUUGUUGUGACAGCAUGUGUGCUAACUGGGAAGGUGAAUUCUGACGUGGCUGAAUUGGAGUAGGAAGCUGCUGUUGAUUAGGAGCAGCACCAUGGGAUUGUAAGUUCAUGCUCAAAGGAGUAUGUGUCACUGCAGCAGAUGAGGCACCCUGCUGGACCAUAGCCUGAGAUAGCGGCAACUGUGCACCCAAGCCAGAAGACUCAUGGGAAGGUGCAGGUUGACUAAAGGGCAAUUGACC